UGGGGAAUAUUGCACAAUGGGCGCAAGCCUGAUGCAGCCAUGCCGCGUGUGUGAAGAAGGCCUUCGGGUUGUAAAGCACUUUCAGCGGGGAGGAAGGCGUUAAGGUUAAUAACCUUGGCGAUUGACGUUACCCGCAGAAGAAGCACCGGCUAACUCCGUGCCAGCAGCCGCGGUAAUACGGAGGGUGCAAGCGUUAAUCGGAAUUACUGGGCGUAAAGCGCACGCAGGCGGUCUGUCAAGUCGGAUGUGAAAUCCCCGGGCUCAACCUGGGAACUGCAUUCGAAACUGGCAGGCUAGAGUCUUGUAGAGGGGGGUAGAAUUCCAGGUGUAGCGGUGAAAUGCGUAGAGAUCUGGUGGAAUAACGGUGGCGAAGGCGGCCCCCCGGACAAAGACUGACGCUCAGGUGCGAAAGCGUGGGGAGCAAACAGG
rnacentral:rRNA from 1 species